rnacentral:rRNA from 1 species
UGGGGAAUUUUGCACAAUGGGGGAAACCCUGAUGCAGCGACGCCGCGUGAUUUAGAAGGCCUUCGGGUUGUAAAAAUCUUUUCUAUGGGAAGAAAAUGACAGUACCAUAGGAAUAAGGACCGGCUAAUUACGUGCCAGCAGCCGCGGUAAUACGUAAGGUCCGAGCGUUGUCCGGAAUCAUUGGGCGUAAAGGGUACGUAGGCGGGUAAGCAAGUUAGAAGUGAAAUCCUAUAGCUCAACUAUAGUAAGCUUUUAAAACUGCUCAUCUUGAGGUAUGGAAGGGAAAGUGGAAUUCCUAGUGUAGCGGUGAAAUGCGCAGAUAUUAGGAGGAAUACCGGUGGCGAAGGCGACUUUCUGGCCAUAACCUGACGGUGAGGUACGAAAGCGUGGGUAGCAAACAGG